ACACUUGGAAACAGGUGCUAAUACCGGAUAACAACCAAAACCACCUGGUUUUGGUUUAAAAGACGGCUUCGGCUGUCACUUUAGGAUGGACCCGCGGCGUAUUAGCUUGUUGGUAAGGUAACGGCCUACCAAGGCGAUGAUACGUAGCCGACCUGAGAGGGUAAUCGGCCACAUUGGGACUGAGACACGGCCCAAACUCCUACGGGAGGCAGCAGUAGGGAAUCUUCCACAAUGGACGAAAGUCUGAUGGAGCAACGCCGCGUGAGUGAUGAAGGGUUUCGGCUCGUAAAACUCUGUUGUUGGAGAAGAACAGGUGUCAGAGUAACUGUUGGCAUCUUGACGGUAUCCAACCAGAAAGCCACGGCUAACUACGUGCCAGCAGCCGCGGUAAUACGUAGGUGGCAAGCGUUGUCCGGAUUUAUUGGGCGUAAAGCGAGCGCAGGCGGUUUUUUAGGUCUGAUGUGAAAGCCUUCGGCUUAACCGGAGAAGUGCAUCGGAAACCGGGAGACUUGAGUGCAGAAGAGGACAGUGGAACUCCAUGUGUAGCGGUGAAAUGCGUAGAUAUAUGGAAGAACACCAGUGGCGAAGGCGGCUGUCUGGUCUGUAACUUGACGCUGAGGCUCGAAAGCAUGGGUAGCGAACAGGAUUAGAUACCCUGGUAGUCCAUGCCGUAAACGAUGAGUGCUAA
rnacentral:rRNA from 1 species